rnacentral:rRNA from 1 species
UACGUAGGGUGCGAGCGUUGUCCGGAAUUACUGGGCGUAAAGAGCUCGUAGGUGGUUUGUCGCGUUGUUCGUGAAAACUCACAGCUCAACUGUGGGCGUGCGGGCGAUACGGGCAGACUGGAGUACUGCAGGGGAGACUGGAAUUCCUGGUGUAGCGGUGAAAUGCGCAGAUAUCAGGAGGAACACCGAUGGCGAAGGCAGGUCUCUGGGCAUUAACUGACGCUGAGGAGCGAAAGCAUGGGGAGCGAACAGG